rnacentral:tRNA from 1 species
UAUGGGAGAGUGUAUUCAGCACGUUAGUUUUUGGUACUAAGAGUAAACGUAGUUUUCUCAUAA